UGCGCCUUGCCAGCCCGCUCAGAAACUUAAAGGAAUUGACGGGGGCCCGCACAAGCGGAGGAACAUGUGGUUUAAUUCGAUGAUACGCGAGGAACCUUACCUGGGCUAGAACGCAUUCGGAAUCAGGCCGAAAGGCCUGCACCAGCGAUGGCCGCUUGCGAGGUGCUGCAUGGUUGUCGUCAGCUCGUGCCGUGAGGUGUCGGGUUAAGUCCCAUAACGAGCGCAACCCCUACUGCUAGUUGCCAGCGGGUCAUGCCGGGGGCUCUAGCGGAACUGCCAGCGUAAGCUGCGAGGAAGGUGGGGAUGACGUCAAAUCAGCACGGCCCUUACGUCCAGGGCUACACACGUGUUACAAUGGCCGGUACAGAGGGCAGCCACCCCGCGAGGGGGCGCGAAUCCCGAAAGCCGGUCCCAGUUCGGAUCGGAGUCUGCAACCCGACUCCGUGAAGCUGGAUUCGCUAGUAAUCGCGCAUCAGCCACGGCGCGGUGAAUACGUUCCCGGGCCUU
rnacentral:rRNA from 1 species